GAUGAACGCUAGCUAUAGGCUUAACACAUGCAAGUCGAGGGGAAACGGCAUUAUGUGCUUGCACAUUUUGGACGUCGACCGGCGCACGGGUGAGUAUCGCGUAUCCAACCUGCCCUUUACUUGGGGAUACCCCGUUGAAAGACGGCCUAAUACCCGAUGUAAUUCAUUGAUUGCAUCAGAUAUUAAUAAAAGAUUUAUCGGUAAAGGAUGGGGAUGCGUCUGAUUAGCUUGUUGGUGAGGUAACGGCUCACCAAGGCGACGAUCAGUAGGGGUUCUGAGAGGAAGGUCCCCCACAUUGGAACUGAGACACGGUCCAAACUACUACGGGAGGCAGCAGUGAGGAAUAUUGGUCAAUGGGCGCAAGCCUGAACCAGCCAAGUAGCGUGCAGGAAGACGGCCCUAUGGGUUGUAAACUGCUUUUAUACGAGAAUAAUUUGAUGCACGUGUGCGUUAUUGCAUGUAUCGUAUGAAUAAGGACCGGCUAAUUCCGUG
rnacentral:rRNA from 1 species